rnacentral:tRNA from 1 species
GAGCCAUUAGCUCAGUUGGUAGAGCAUCUGACUUUUAAUCAGAGGGUCAGAGAUUCGAAUCCUCUAUGGCUCA